UACGAAGGGGGCUAGCGUUGCUCGGAAUUACUGGGCGUAAAGCGCACGUAGGCGGCUUUCUAAGUCGGGGGUGAAAUCCUGGAGCUCAACUCCAGAACUGCCCUUCGAUACUGGAGAGCUUGAGUCCGGGAGAGGUGAGUGGAACUGCGAGUGUAGAGGUGAAAAUUCGUAGAUAUUCGCAAGAACACCAGUGGCGAAGGCGGCUCACUGGCCCGAUACUGACGCUGAGGCACGAAAGCGUGGGGGAGCAAACAGGA
rnacentral:rRNA from 1 species